rnacentral:lncRNA from 1 species
UUUUAUCUUAGUAUUUUUGAAAGGUUAAUUUGAAUGGUCAUUUUGUCUUUUUGGAUUAACAAUUAUGCAUCAAUUAAAAAAUACAAUAAAAUAAACUAAAUAAUAAAGCAAUAAAAAAGGGAAAAGAAAGAAUAAAAGGGAGGGGGAACCCUAUUAAUGCAAGAGGUAAAAGAAUAAAAAAAACUAAAGGAAAUAACACAAAG